AGGUGGAAAAGGAGGGAGCUACUCUCAGGCUGCGUCCAGCAACAGUGCCCAGGGCUCUGAUGUGUCUCUCACGGCUUGAAAAGCCUGAGACAACUGUCUUG